CCUUUAUAGCAGUUGCGUCAGGCUAUAAACCGAUUCGAAUCAUUUACAGCGUUGCCUGGAAUUUUUCCCUGCUCGUGCUCAAAAAAGCCUAAUGUUGAGUUUCGUUUAAGUGGGAAUUGUAAAAGGGUAUGAACCCAUCAGCAACAUACAUAGCAUGAAUGCUGGAUGUUACACCAGAAUAGUACGUGGGCUAUAUCGGGCAGUACUGAACUAUAGCUACUAUAUAAACCGAUUUCAAGAUUUGACUUUUAGAGCACCUAGAGGCCUCUUAUUCAAUUUGGAUGACAAAUUUUACAUAUUAUUCAGUUAUAACUUCAAAUAUCGAUACUAAGUAUGCCUCAAAUCAGAGCUCAACCUUAUGGCAAUCCCAUAUAAACCAAUCCGAUACCUGGAUUACGAGAAUUCCCAUGUAUGGUAUAUGCAAAGGUGGCCCAAAAGUUGUUUUUCGAAGCAUUUCCAUAUUUUAUGUGUUUGCCACUUGUGCUCACAUUUUGAAUGUUUAUUUAAAAAUUGUUUUUUUGAUCAUUCGAUGCUGUGCGAUCUCUUGCUCUUAUCAAUACCUCCACAUGACCUACAUCCGCAUAUGUGGCACCCCUUAUCAAAUGGGUCAGUUUUUGGUUGUUUUAAUUGAAUUUUUUUAUUUGGUUUUUUUUCUAAUAUUUUCAUGAAACCCGAGUUGCUGUUCUAAAACUAAAUAAAUGCCUUGCCAUGCAUGGCGCUGACAACAGUCUUCAAGAGUCUAUUCGUUGCUUUGGCCGUUAGUGUUUUGGAACAAAAUUGUCCAGAAUGAAAUUCCUUUUGAUUUGCAUGACAUUGGUUAUCAGUUUGUUUGCCCUAGUGCAAGGUGAUAAUUGUUUGCGUCCUUGUCCAAUGAACUUGGCUUGGGUAUGUGGAGAACAUGAGGAUGGCAGCCAUAAUAGUUACCCUAAUGAAUGCGCUAUGGAGGCAGCUGCCUGCAAUCUUGGCAAAGCAAUUGUUAAAGCCUAUGACGGAGAAUGCAAAUAAAUGGAGAUACUUGUGAUUGGUUAAUAUUGGUAAUUUUUUUUAAUUUUCGUAAAAUAAAAACUGCAAUAUUGAAUACUCAACAUCAUCGA